rnacentral:rRNA from 1 species
GAUCAUGGCUCAGGACGAACGCUGGCGGCGUGCCUAAUACAUGCAAGUAGAACGCUGAAGGAGGAGCUUGCUUCUCCGGAUGAGUUGCGAACGGGUGAGUAACGCGUAGGUAACCUGCCUGGUAGCGGGGGAUAACUAUUGGAAACGAUAGCUAAUACCGCAUAACAGUAGAUAUUGCAUGAUAUCUGCUUGAAAGGUGCAAUUGCAUCACUACCAGAUGG